rnacentral:lncRNA from 1 species
UUUGAUUUAUGUAUUGAUUUGGAAUGAUUUGAAGAAGGAAUGAACCAUGUCCUUUGUUGGACUUUUGGAUCCCAUUUAUCUUCUUAAUAAUAACAAUAAAAAUAAUAUAUUUUUCGUUGUCUUUUUUUUUAAAUAACAACUUAGUAAUAAUAAUGAAAACAAUAUUUUUUUUCUAUAAUUAGUCAAACUAAUAAUAAUAGAAUAAUA